GUAGGGAAUAUUGGGCAAUGGAGGCAACUCUGACGCAGCCAUGCCGCGUGCAGGAAGAAGGCGCUACGCGUUGUAAACUGCUUUUAACCGGGAAGAAACCCCAGGACGUGUCCUGGGUUGACGGUACCGGAGGAAUAAGCACCGGCUAACUUCGUGCCAGCAGCCGCGGUAAUACGAAGGGUGCAAGCGUUAUCCGGAUUCAUUGGGUUUAAAGGGUGCGUAGGCGGAGCGUUAAGUCAGUGGUGAAAUCCUGCAGCUUAACUGUAGACUUGCCAUUGAUACUGGCGCUCUUGAGUGCGCUUGAAGUGGGCGGAAUGUGCCGUGUAGCGGUGAAAUGCUUAGAUAUGGCACAGAACACCAAUUGCGAAGGCAGCUCACUAAGGCGAUACUGACGCUGAGGCACGAAAGCGUGGGGAUCGAACAGGAUUAGAAACCCCUGUAGUCC
rnacentral:rRNA from 1 species